UGGGGAAUUUUGGACAAUGGGCGAAAGCCUGAUCCAGCAAUGCCGCGUGCAGGAUGAAGGCUUUCGGGUUGUAAACUGCUUUUGUACGGAACGAAAAGCUUCUCCUAAUACGAGAGGCCCAUGACGGUACCGUAAGAAUAAGCACCGGCUAACUACGUGCCAGCAGCCGCGGUAAUACGUAGGGUGCGAGCGUUAAUCGGAAUUACUGGGCGUAAAGCGUGCGCAGGCGGUUAUGUAAGACAGAUGUGAAAUCCCCGGGCUCAACCUGGGAACUGCAUUUGUGACUGCAUGGCUAGAGUACGGUAGAGGGGGAUGGAAUUCCGCGUGUAGCAGUGAAAUGCGUAGAUAUGCGGAGGAACACCGAUGGCGAAGGCAAUCCCUGGACCUGUACUGACGCUCAUGCACGAAAGCGUGGGGAGCAAACAGGAUUAGAUACCCUGGUAGUCCACGCCCUAAACGAUGUCAACUGGUUGUUGGGAAUUAGUUUUCUCAGUAACGAAGCUAACGCGUGAAGUUGACCGCCU
rnacentral:rRNA from 1 species